AUUCCAGCUCCAAUAGUGUAUAUUAAAGUUGUUGCAGUUAAAAAGCUCGUAGUUGGAUUUCUGGCGGGAGCGAUCGGUCCUUCACUCAGUGUUGGAACCUGAUUGUCUCCUGCCAUCCAUGGAGAAAACUUAUCUGGCAUUAAGUUGUCGGGUAGGCAAUCUCCAUCUUUUACUGUGAAAAAAUUAGAGUGUUCAAAGCAGGCUUAUGCCGUUGAAUAUAUUAGCAUGGAAUAAUAAGAUAGGACUAUGGUACUAUUUUGUUGGUUUGUGCACCAUGGUAAUGAUUAAUAGGGACAGUUGGGGGUGCUAGUAUUCAGCGGCCAGAGGUGAAAUUCUUGGAUUCGCUGAGGACUAACUUAUGCGAAAGCAUUCACCAAGGAUGUCUUCAUCG
rnacentral:rRNA from 1 species